rnacentral:rRNA from 1 species
AUGGCUUUCCCAGCUCCAGCUGCUGUAUUCCUUGAUGAGAACCUGCCAAUCCAUAGAGGCAAGAGGGCUGAUGGGCUCAAUGCCAGGCCACUGAAACCAUCAGCAAAGCCAUCAGCAAGGAAGGCUCUGCGGGAUGUGUCCAACACCAGCAAGCCCCAAGCGCCUAGCAUUCAAAAAGGCCACCCCUUGAAGGAUAGGUCCGUCCUGAAAGACAAGUCAGCUCUUCGCAGCCAAGAAGCCAUUAAGAAGAACCCACUGAGCAAGACUACAAUCUAUGCUGAUGAAGCCACCAAAAAAUGCCAUGAAUGGGCCAAGGGUGGGGUGGAGGGCACCCACUUCACUGGGAAUGAUGCUCAGAGGUUGGACAGUGACAAGAUAGACAAACGUGUCAAGAAGAAAGUGGAGAAAAUAACGUCAGCAUUGCAUGAUUGGUCAGAUGUGAUAUUUGAUCCUCUGCUGUUUCCAGCUAAGACAGUUGCACCGUUUCAUGAAGAAGUAAAUGUGCUGGAACUGGAGCCUGAGAUUCUUCCAGACAUCAGUGGGCGUCUCUCGAUUUCAGGCGACAAGGCAAAGCUGACUGAAGAUUCUUUUGAUGAAGUUGAGCUUGAUAGCUACUCAUUCCUGGAGGACAAGCCUGUUGAGUUUCAGCUGAGAGACGAGAUAAGUCUUUAUCCGUGGAGCCUGGAGUCAGUGAACUGA